rnacentral:rRNA from 1 species
CUACGGGGCGCUGCAGUGGGGAAUAUUGCACAAUGGGCGCAAGCCUGAUGCAGCCAUGCCGCGUGUAUGAAGAAGGCCUUCGGGUUGUAAAGUACUUUCAGCGGGGAGGAAGGGAGUAAAGUUAAUACCUUUGCUCAUUGACGUUACCCGCAGAAGAAGCACCGGCUAACUCCGUGCCAGCAGCCGCGGUAAUACGGAGGGUGCAAGCGUUAAUCGGAAUUACUGGGCGUAAAGCGCACGCAGGCGGUUUGUUAAGUCAGAUGUGAAAUCCCCGGGCUCAACCUGGGAACUGCAUCUGAUACUGGCAAGCUUGAGUCUCGUAGAGGGGGGUAGAAUUCCAGGUGUAGCGGUGAAAUGCGUAGAGAUCUGGAGGAAUACCGGUGGCGAAGGCGGCCCCCUGGACGAAGACUGACGCUCAGGUGCGAAAGCGUGGGGAGCAAACAGGAUUAGAUACCCUCGUAGUC